CUUUACCUCAGUAACUGCCAAGUGAGGGAAUAGGAACACCUGCUCAGUUUUGCUUUAGUCAUCUUCUUCAGGAGCUCCUCAUCUGGAAGAAAAUGAGAAAUCACAGAAGGCUGCCUGAAAAGAAUGUGCCCCGCUGCUUGCUUAAGAAGGUGUAGGGCCUGAGCCUUUAUUGCUGGAGGAUUUGAAGAGGCAGCUGAAGGAACAACAUGUUUAAUGAGGAAAUCUGAAAGGGCAUCUUAUCAGAAAUUGUCAAUCUCUUGGUACCAGCUUUUUAAACGGUGGGGAAUGUCAGGCUUCAUCUUUUCUGAAUUAUUCCACGUGUCACUUGCUUCACGAAUGAAGAAACUCCACAGCACUGACCCAAAGCCUGUUGAUAAAGCUGAGACUCCCCAUGAUUUCAUGCGAAUUUAGCAGACACCAUAAGUUCUACUGUGCUUUUUGAGAUUGCUAUUUUGCAACUUUUAUAAUAGUGCAUAUGCAGAACUGUAUGAAAACAAAAUCUUGACAUAUAUAUCUUGAUAAAUGCUAUUUAUAGAUGAGUUGUGUUUAUGAAAUAUCACUGUAGUUGUGCCCUUUCUCUUCUGCCUCUCAGUCCCAGGGUAAAGCUUUCUCCCUACCCAUUCUCUUCUUUUCACAAGCUAAUGAAAUCCCAAAGUGCAUAAGGGAUUGUAGGGGGAGUUAUAUUUGCCGUGGUUUCCAAUGGAAAUUAUUGUGAAUGUUGUGCACCUUUUAGGUGCUGAUAUCUGUGACUUUGUUUUAAUAAUUGGACUGUUCUAUGUAAAUGUGGGAACAGUUUCUUCAUUCCUGUGAUAGAGACAAGACUAAUGAGUCCCUUAACUGGAGAUGUGUUUAUUGCUUGAGGUGCUAAUAUGGAUGUUGUCAAAUAUGUGUUUUCUUGUUCGUCCAAGCCUAAGUCAGUUUUUGUUUUCUAUGUAUAUUAUUACCCAUUAUGUCCCAUGCAUUUUCUCCUCACACACAAUAGAGGAUUUUA
rnacentral:lncRNA from 1 species